CGUUAUCCGGAUUUACUGGGUGUAAAGGGAGCGUAGACGGCACGGCAAGCCAGAUGUGAAAGCCCGGGGCUCAACCCCGGGACUGCAUUUGGAACUGCUGAGCUAGAGUGUCGGAGAGGCAAGUGGAAUUCCUAGUGUAGCGGUGAAAUGCGUAGAUAUUAGGAGGAACACCAGUGGCGAAGGCGGCUUGCUGGACGAUGACUGACGUUGAGGCUCGAAAGCGUGGGGAGCCCCCAUAAAGAGAUCCCCUGGUAGUCCUCGCCGUUUUCGAUGAAUACUAGGUGUCGGGGCCGUAUAGGCUUUCGGUGCCGUCGCAAACGCAGUAAGUAUUCCACCUGGGGAGUACGUUCGCAAGAAUGAAACUCAAAGGAAUUGCCGGGGACCCGCACAAGCGGUGGAGCAUGUGGUUUAAUUCGAAGCAACGCGAAGAACCUUACCAGGUCUUGACAUCCUUCUGACCACUCCGUAAUGGGAGUCUUCCUUCGGGACAGAAGAGACAGGUGGUGCAUGGUUGUCGUCAGCUCGUGUCGUGAGAUGUUGGGUUAAGUCCCGCAACGAGCGCAACCCUUAUCCUCAGUAGCCAGCAGGUCAAGCUGGGCACUCUGUGGAGACUGCCAGGGAUAACCUGGAGGAAGGUGGGGAUGACGUCAAAUCAUCAUGCCCCUUAUGAUCUGGGCUACACACGUGCUACAAUGGCGUAAACAAAGGGAGGCAAAGCCGCGAGGUGGAGCAAAUCCCAAAAAUAACGUCUCAGUUCGGACUGCAGUCUGCAACUCGACUGCACGAAGCUGGAAUCACUAGUAAUCGCGAAUCAGAAUGUCGCGGUGAAUACGUUCCCGGGUCUUGUACUCACCGCCCGUCA
rnacentral:rRNA from 1 species